GGGGUGGGCUCAGAGCAGGGGGCCUGGAAAAUAGCUUCUCUGUUUACCAUAUACCCGAGAGAACUCUAGACCAUUAUAAUAAGGAACACAGCACUGUGUCCUCUCUGUGAGCAGAUAACCUACAUGA
ensembl:snoRNA